CUUUAAGAGGUAAAUACUCUCUAAUGUAUGGACUUUCAACUUUGAAAGUAAUCUUGCUGUACAUAAUGUAUUUUAAGGUAUUCUUGACAAACUGCACAUUUGAACAGCUUGUGUGGGUUCCUAGGACGUGGCGCUUGAAUAAUUUGAUUAAUGUGCUGAUGUUGAGGAAAGAGUUUUAACAUCUGUGUUGAAUGGGGUAUGUGAAUGUAUUUAU